UACGGGGGGGCAAGCGUUGUUCGGAAUUAUCUGGGCGGUAAAGGGCUCGUAGGUGGCCAACUAAGUCAGACGAUGAAAUCCCACGGCUCAACCGUGGAACUGCUGGGACAUACUGGACAUUCUUGAGGCAUUCAGGGGGCGAGCGGGAAACAAGUGGUGGAGCGGUGAAAUGCGUAGAUAUCACUUGGAACGCCAAUGGUGAAAACAGCUCGCUGGGAAUGAUCUGACACUGAGACGCGAAACCAGGGGAGCGAACGGG
rnacentral:rRNA from 1 species